UAGCGGCGGACGGGUGAGUAAUGCUUAGGAAUCUGCCUAUUAGUGGGGGACAACAUUCCGAAAGGAAUGCUAAUACCGCAUACGUCCUACGGGAGAAAGCAGGGGACCUUCGGGCCUUGCGCUAAUAGAUGAGCCUAAGUCGGAUUAGCUAGUUGGUGGGGUAAAGGCCUACCAAGGCGACGAUCUGUAGCGGGUCUGAGAGGAUGAUCCGCCACACUGGGACUGAGACACGGCCCAGACUCCUACGGGAGGCAGCAGUGGGGAAUAUUGGACAAUGGGGGGAACCCUGAUCCAGCCAUGCCGCGUGUGUGAAGAAGGCCUUUUGGUUGUAAAGCACUUUAAGCGAGGAGGAGGCUACUAGUAUUAAUACUACUGGAUAGUGGACGUUACUCGCAGAAUAAGCGCCGGCUAACUCUGUGCCAGCAGCCGCGGUAAUACAGAGGGUGCGAGCGUUAAUCGGAUUUACUGGGCGUAAAGCGUGCGUAGGCGGCUGAUUAAGUCGGAUAUGAAAUCCCUGAGCUUAACUUAGGAAUUGCAUUCGAUACUGGUCAGCUAGAGUAUGGGAGAGGAUGGUAGAAUUCCAGGUGUAGCGGUGAAAUGCGUAGAGAUCUGGAGGAGUACCGAUGGCGAAGGCAGCCAUCUGGCCUANNNCUGA
rnacentral:rRNA from 1 species